UCCAUCAAAAUUUAAAUUUGCAAUCCUAAUACCCAAUGUGAUGAUGUUAGGAGGUAGGGCCUUUUUGAGGUGAGCAGGUCAUGAGGAUGGAGAACUAAUGAAUGGGAGUAGUGCUCUUACAAAAGAGAUCCCACAGAGUUCCCUAGCUUCUUCCACUAUGUGAGGAUACAAUGAGAAUUAUGCAAUAAAAACAGACAUAACUUUUAAAACAAAGGAACAGACUCUCAUUAUGAAUCCAAACUAGAAUAGAUACUACCUUUUCUGAAUAAUAGAAAAUCAAUUUAUAAAAAUAAAUUGAAUAUUUAUCCCUAAGGGUAUAAGAAUACUUUACAUCUACUUUACAAGGAUCAAAAUCACACUUAGAUACUGAGUUUUUGUGGGAGUGUGCAUCUGCAUGUAAGAAUUACACGAACACUGGUGUCCCUUGUCAGAGAGGAAAAACACAACCAGCUCACCAGGGUUUAAGAACAGAAAGUUUAAGAGAGAAUAUUGUGUAUUUGUAUACAUUUUAAACAUGUUUGUAUUUAUAUAUAUAUGUGUGUGUGUGUGUGUGUGUGUAUACAUAUAUAUAUAUAUAUAUAUAUUGCUGGGUUGACUUUUAUAAUAAAAUAAUUGAAAUGAAAUCAAAGUAGCUGAUUUAAUCUUAAGGCCAGCAGGUGGUAAAAUUGUGCUUGCUAAUAUUGCAAUUUUGAAUGAAAGUUUGUUAUCUGGUAAUUUUUAGAAAUUAUAAUUUUAAACAUGUUUAAAAACUAUAAAUAAUGAAGUUGUUGUAGGGUUUUAAAUUGCCAUAAUUUUUCAAUUGUAGAAGCAAACAUAAAACAGAAACAAACUAGAUAAUUAAUGUUGAAAAAUAGGUGGGUUGUAAGUUAAUUUUGAUGGAGCAGUAGAUCAAGUCUGAUGCUGGGAAGAAUAUAAAAACCAUAAGGGCUUAGUAAAAUGUACUCUUCCUCCAGGGACCUAUGCUAUAGGACACUCUGAUGUAACCACGAUGAUGAGGAUAUGCACCCACUCACAAAAAGAUUUAAUUUUCUUAACUUCACUCAUUAUAUUGGAUACUAUAUAGGGAAUUUCCUGGGGGUACCUGGGUGGCUCAGUUGGUUGAGCAUCUGCUUUCGGCUCAGGUCAUGAUCCUGGGGUCUUGGGAUUGAGCCCCUCAUCAGCUCCCUGUUCAGUGGGGAAUCUGUUUCUUCCUCUGCCACGCCCCCUGCUUGUGCUGUCAAAAAUUAAUAUCUUAAAAAAACAAAACAAAACAAAACUCCUGGGUGGGGAUGAGGGGGUGGGGGAUUGGAUAAAGGGGAUCAAAAGAUAGAAACUUCCAGUUAUAAAAAAAAUACAUACUAGGGAUGUAAUGUACAACAUAAGGACUGAUUAACACUGCUGUAUGGUAAACUUGAAUGUUGCUAAGAUUGUGGAUCCUAAACGUUCUCAUCACAAGAAAAAAUCCUAUUUUUUUGUAUCUAUAUAAGAUGGUGGAUAUUAACUGAACUUAUUGUGGUAGUCAAUAUUUUGUGGUAUAUAUGUCAAGUUAUUAUGGUGCAUAGUUUAAGUUUAUAUAGUGCUGUAUGUCAAUUAUAUCUCAAUAAAACUGAAAGAAAUUUCCUAAUAACUGUCACUGGGAUUAUCUUGCUUAGGAAAGGUGGAAUUCUGAUCAUAUUGGCUAUAUUUAGAUUCAGAUAUUGAGAAUAAUUUAGUUUGGAAUGCAUCCUUUUCAGUGAAAAGUUAGAUUACUUUAUACUUAUUAGAAGUGAGCAUACUUAAUUUUAGUGUUUAGAUCUACACUGUAGUAUCAGCAAACUUUCCUUUAAUGACCAAGAUAAAAACACAUUUAAACAACCAUGCACAGACCCACUUAUGAGUGGGAUUUAGCAGUAAAUGUCUCAUUAGAAUUAAGUCCUCACUUCUCCUGUAGUAAUGUUGGAGAGAUAAAGCUCUAAGAAGCAGGGGCCUAUUUCUGAUAAGAAGCAGAACAGAAAAUGAUAGACGAGGUCUGGGUUACAGACUGGGUGGGCAGUGGCUAGUGAUGACUGCCUUCUCCCUAUUAAAAUGGUAUUUUGAGAUUAAGGUCUCUAUCUCCCUUCCCAUAAGAGCCUAUGCUAUGCAGCCAUGAUUUGAUGAAAGCUACUAUCACAUCUGUAGCUAGUUCCAUGCAAUCUGGAAAGAAUUGAUCUUAUUCUGGGACCAAGUUACUGGGAAAUUGCUUUCUUGCCAAUUGCUUCUCUCCAAAAGAAAUUUUUAAAAAAAUUUAAGUCAUCUCUACACUCAGUAUGGGGCUUAAACUGAAAACUCUGAGAUCCAGAGUCAGAUACUCUGACUGAGCCAGCCAGGUGCUCCCAAAAGAAACUUUUUAUAUAGUCUUGAUGGAAUAGAUUUUUUUUUUUUUUUUUUUUUUUUAGUUUUCCCAAAUCUGAGACCAGGAGUGUUGCAAAUAACCUGUUUUUAAAAGAGACUUCUUCCUGAGCACUUGUACUUGGCCUAGUGGUUGCCCUUGACCCUUUCUCAAGCGAAGAUAUUUCAGUGUUCAAGCCAUGUUGUCUUGAACUUUGCUGAAGGAAAAGUUCCCAAUGGAAUUAUGCAUGGAUCAAUACAGAUUUCAAAGGUGACAUUGUUGAAUUUCUGAUGGUUUAGGUGUUUUGUUUGCUGUUCCGGAUGGAACUUCAUGUGCUCUAAGCCAGGGGCUUCCUUAUAUUGAAGUACAGAAACAAGGGGGGAUAUCUGUAAAACCUGUAAUUCCGCAAUCCACUCACUUGUGACAUUGAUUCAUGCUUUUUUGUAGAAAUCUAUGCCAUGUGCUGGAUUACUCCCAGAAUGAAUCUUCAUUUAAAAAACUGGUCAGAUGAUUGGUUUAAUCAGUUCAGAAAAAAAGUUGUUGAAGAGCUGUAUUUAUAAAUAAGAAAUCCUAAGUGACAGAUGUGCUAUUUUCAAUUUUAGCAAUUUUGGGAAACACCAACAAACAUAUAGCUUCAGAAGACAAAGACACUGGUACCUCUAUUCCUUAGCCCCAUAUUUAAAAUGAGUUAUUUUAAAAUUAACUUAUUUUCUCUUUCAUAUAGAUCUAACCUGACCUCUGAAUUUUAAGGCUCCUAUUAAUUACAUCCCUUUUUGACCAGUUUGAGAUGCUUUCAAGUUUUAUCAAUUAAAAACUAAAAGUUUUCUUGAAAAAUAUAUUUUUCAAAUUAAACCUUUUUUUUUUUUUUUUUUUUUUAUCUGUUGGUUCCACUUCUAUUACUGUGCCAAUGAUUUCAGAGUAAAGACGUUCCAGGUACAGUUAUCUCAUUGGCGAUUUUUUUUUUUUUUGGUUGUGAUCAUGUAUUCUUCCUCACUUUGGUUCAUAUGGAAAGAUAUACUCAUCUCUUUUACUCAAUAUAUGAACAACUUUCACUCCUUUUUGUUCAUUGAUGCCUUCCAUUACCUGACUGUGAAUAAAUUCACGUACUUGGUAUUUGAAAGCCAUUAAGAUGAGCAAAAUUUUCUAAUGUUUGCUGCAGAUCCCUAAUUAGGUCAGGAACUGGCAGGAGUGCCCUCAGAUGUACUGCAACUGAGCUACUAAGAAUUCCAUAAUUUCUUAUCAUUUGUUGUAGGCACUCAGUAAUGUCCUCAGCCUUUUGAUUGCCCCAAAAACAUUGCUGAUAUUGUAUUUGUGUGGAGUGGCGUGGGGGAAAAGUGGACUUCAGCUGUGCAGAUUCAUGACUUGGUCUGGUGGUAAUCCUGCCGAGCAACAGGCUAUUGAAUAAUUCUUAUUAAAAUUGCAAGGAAGUUCCCACACUCAUGGUAAUUAAUCCAAGUCAACUGAUGUCCAUUGAACCCUACUGGGAAUUCUAUUUAUUGCAAGGGUUCCUUUCUUGGUUCAUGUGCCUGAAACCAUCCAAGUCUACUUCU
rnacentral:lncRNA from 1 species